GCCUGGGUGGCUCAAUCGGUUGAGUGCCUGACUUCGGCUCAGGUCAUGGUCUCGCCCUCUGUGAGUUCGAGCCCCGCGUCGGGCU
rnacentral:tRNA from 1 species